rnacentral:rRNA from 1 species
CGCCCGGUCCCAUCCCGAACCCGGAAGCUAAGCCUGCCAGCGCCGAUGAUACUACCCUCCCGGGUGGAAAAGUAGGACACCGCCGAAC